UUUAUGUUUAUUUUUCCAUGUAUCUUAAAAACGUUUAAGUUUCAAUGAAGAAGUGAAAAAUAUAAGUUUCAUAACAGAAAUCAAACAAAACCAUUCAUAUUACAUCUUAAUUUUUAUUUACAACCUUUAAAUUAUUAAUUAUGUUUUAUAUUAAUUUUUCAAACAAUAAUAAAAGCUUAACUACAGAAAUCUGCUAAAUCUUUAAUUUUAACAUGUAGGGGAACAAAUAUAGUUGUAGAAAUAUUUUUCUUUUUAUUUAUUUAUUUUUUACAGCUACAGAUCUAUAACAUAUAUAAUUACAAAAAAAUGUAUGUGUGUAGUCCAGUCCAAAUUCUACAUCAAAUAAUUUACAAUGUUAGUAAUUAAUAACCUUGUAUUUUAUUGAGAGUUAGGUGAUCUGUAUUAAAAUAAAAAAUCUAAAAUUAUAUUAUUAUUCACAUAUGAAUUUUAAAAAUUCAUAUAAAAUUUAUUGUUUUUGAAUUUGAUACUUCAUAAAGUAUUUUGAAAUCUACUGUUAUUAAAAUAUUUGAAGUUGUGGAUCUUAGGGGGUGUAUUCAAAUGAAAGUUUGAGGUGAUUUGUAUUAAAAUAAUAAAUUCACUUUUAUUCAAAUAUGAAUUUUAAAAACUAAUUUAAUAUACACUGUUAUUUAAUUUGAUAUUUUAUAAAGCACAGUAGAAAUUUUAUAAAUUAAUACUCGAUAAAUUAAUAAAUUUCUUCGGUCCUGAGUUAGGCGAUUCAAAAUAUGACAGAAACGAUAAAAUAAUAAGAUAAUAAUAUUUUAGAAAAUAUUAUGUAAAUAUAUAGUUCUAUUGAAAUCAUAAAUUAAUAAUUUUUGUAUAUAUACAUUUUAUGUAAGUACAAACCAAAAAUUUUAUUAGUUGCUUUAUUUCACAAUAUAAUUAUCUCUAUAUUUUCUUAACAUUUCAAUAUAUUUUGCUUAUAUCUAGUAAAAUUAUAUCUAAACCACAUUUAAAUUUUAUAAAAUAUAUUUUAUAUAUACUGGAUAAUACAAUAAUAAUAACGUGAAAGUCAAUUUCAAAAUUUUAAUUAGUGUAUAUACAAUAAAAUCAAUUAUAUUCUAAAAUUUUACAAAAGCCAGAAAAUAAUUUUUUUUGUAAAAUAAUAACUAUAAAUUAAAAAAAUAUCAUAGUCCCAACAUUAUUAAUUUACAGAGUUUUUAAUGUACUUUAAAACUUAAUGUUAUUGAAAAUAUUUUAAAUUGUGGAGUUUUAAGUGAUUUAAGAGUGUUUGGAUGAAGUUUCUUAGUUAAAAAAAUAAAAAUCAAAUCUCAUGGGUUUUAAUUGAUAUUCUAGAGUGGUUUAACAAAAAUCACCUUAAACUCUGUAGUUUAUUAAAAUCAUCUGAAACCUCAUUAAAAGAUCAAUCACCUUAAACUUUAGAUUGAAUACAUCCCCUUAAAGUUUUCAAGUGAUUUUAAAGUGUUUAGAUAGAGUUUCUUAGCUGAAAAGUUACAAACUUAAAGCUCAUGGUUUUAGAUGAUAUUUUAGAGUGGUUCAACAAAAAUAAUUUAGAGCAUAUUUUGUCGAAAAUAUAAAGUAUGGAACGUAACACAAGUUUGUUCUUAAAUACUUAAUUCUCAUUUGCAUUUCAUUAUUUAAAUAUUGUUUGUUUUUACUUUGGCCAUAAUAUGAUUUUGCGGGUCUAAAUAUUGACGGACUUUGCGGGUUUUGAACCGGCCCGGUCAAGCUAUCCCGAUUUUUGUUAGAUCUAUCUACUGCGUAAACUUAAGUCAAAUUGUUCUUAAACAUCCACACGAUAUAGGUCUUCGCUUUCGAUUCAUUUGAAUACCUGCACAAAAGUUUAUCUAUAGAUUGCAUAUGUUUUUGAAGAGUAAUCUAGAUCUUCCCAUAGAACUGAGAUACCUAUUAAUCAAAAAAAAGUUUAAUUUGAGUGAUCAUAUUUUACAGUCAUACGCGAUAAGCCAAGUCUUCUAAACUUAUGAGCACCAAAGUCUCACCCGCCGUCCAAUUCCCAUCCCUAUAUGGAUCAAAGUCUUCUUUGUUUGUAUGAUCACCUACAUCUAUGUGGAUCACAGUCUUCUUUGCUUGUAUGAGCACCUAUCCCCGUAUAUCUACUUAUUAACGACUGUGUUUCAGGUCGGUCUUUAUCGCUACUUAUUAUAGAGAAAUAGCGUGGGCAUUCAGGUAUCAAUCCAAAUUUGGUUCGGGUAUAUUCGAAUUUUGGGUUUUUGGAGUUACGGAUUUCAGCUCCAUUCGGGUAUUUUUAAAUUUUGGUUUGGGUUCGCUUUGAAUCUUUGUGGAUUCGGUUCGGGUUUUUAAAUUAAUUUUAAAAUUUUAAAAUUCAUUAUAUACUCUCAAAAUCUAUAAACAAAAUUUAUUUAGUUUGGUUUGAAUAUUUGAAUAGAGAAUCAAUAGAAAAAUUUUAAGUAUUUUGAGUAUAUUUUAGCUAUUUUAGAUAUUUAAUUGUUGUAUAUAUUUUGAAGUGGUUCGGACAAUUUAAAAGUGUCUAUAUUUUGGAUAUUUUUUUAAUAUUUAUUAAAUCUAAAAAUAAUUAAUAUAUUUAGGUAUAUAAAUCAAUUUCAGAUACAUUCGGUUAUAUUUGGAUCAGAUUCGGUUUUUCAAAUACUAAUAUUUUGGACUCAUUCAAAUAUUUAAUCAAUUUCAAUUCAGUACUACUUUUUCGGAUUUUCGGAUCGGAUUUGGUUCUUAAGAUUCAAGUUUUUUUCCCAGUCCUAGAGAAAACUAUGAGAGGCCGAUGCUUUUCGGAUGUGAUAGUCCAAAGUUAAAAAUAUAUUUCAUGCGAAUUUUCUUUUGUUUUGUGUAGUCCAUAAAUUAUUUCACAGAUAAUAGAUGUGUUAUUUAUUCUAUGAAAGAUGAAUUAUCCAGAAGACAAUAUAACCAACAAGCCAAUAUCAUCAUAUCAAAAUGAGGGUUCAUAUGAAGUCCAAACAGAAUCAGAGAAAACAUGAUAAUAUUCCAAUUUCCACCACCAUAGGAGUAAAAUAGAUAGAAAAAAAAAGAGAUACAUGUUUUGAUUUCAAACACAAUCAGAGAGCAAGAACACAACCACCAC